rnacentral:lncRNA from 1 species
GUGACAAAGCAAGACUUUGUCUCAAAAGAAAAAAAAGCUCUCCAUGUGGAUGUGGCCAAAGUUAAGUUGGGGCCAUAUUCAAUGUGUUACAAUUACUGGAGACAAAGCAGGAAUGGAGAUAUUUAAGAACUAUUACCUUAGGUCAUGAGAUUUGCAUUCAUUACCACCUUCACCUAAACCGCAUUUUAUUCCACUUGGAAGCAAGGUUGGUGGUUUCCGGCAGGCAAUAAAAUUCAAUGACAGAAAUUCCAAUCUAAUAAGUGACGGCUACCCAGCCUUUAAAAUUGUACAAAGUCUUGCUUUGUCACUCAGGCUGGAGUGCAGUAGUGCAAUUAUCACUCACCACAGCAUAGUGAGACCCUGUUUCUACAAAAAUCGUACCUAUAUAACACCAAAAUAACUUGCCUUAGAUCUGUUUUGCUUAGGAUUUAUUAUUCUGGCUUUAAAGUCUUUGUAGUCAAACUCAUGCUGCAAAUUAGCCAACAGUAAGUGCUGAAAAGAAUCUAAAACAAAACUUAGAUCAACCUUUUUAUUUUAGAAAUGAAAACUAUAGAGAUGAACUAGAGAGACAAUGGAAUACUGUCCUUUGGCUGAGUCCUGCUGAAACCUGGUGGUGACACACAGAAGCAGGGUGAAUAUUCAAGAAAUACUGUUAAAUCACAAACUACUCAGAUGCAAACACAAGAGUGCAUGCUGGAACUGGCUUAUGAAACACAAGCCAGCUGGCUGCCCUAGAAAAAGUCUGAGGAAAAAGCCUUCUUCAUCUAAUUCAUAAAUGGGAAAUUGAAUUUCCAGGCUUAGCUGGCUUAUUUUUAUCUUCUUUUGUUUGUUUGAACUAUGUAUUGCUGAAUAACUGUGACAACAUUGAAAAGAGGGUUCAUGAGUAAAGCAAGAGUUGAUCUUUCACAAAUCAGUGCUAUAAUCAUUUCUAUGGGAGAGGCUACAGAUGAUUCCAUGCAGGGAGCACUCUGUAUGAAUGAUGUGGCCUCAGGCUAGAACACUUGAAAAGCAGCAAAGGAAAACUUUCUGCCCAACUUAUUAGAGGGGUGUGUGUGUGUGUGUGUGUGUGUAUCUCACAUGAAUAUAUUAUACAUAUGUAUAUAUAACAUAUAUAUAUAUACACACACACACCACUGGUGUUUAUUUUCACAUGCUUUUUUAUUUUUAUUUUAUUUUAUUUUUAAAAUAGAGACAGUGUCUUUCUCCGUCACCCAGGCUGGAAUGCAGUGAUGUAAUCAUGGCUCACUGAAGCCUCGAACUUGAACUCCUGGGCUCAAACGAUCCUCCUGCCUUAGCCUCUUGAGUAGCUAGGACUAUAGCCACAUCCUACUAGGUCCAACUAAUUUUAAUUAUUUUUUGUGUGUGGAGAUGGUGGGGGCGGGGUGUCUCUCUAUGUUUCCCAGGCUGGUCUUGAACUCCUGGCCUCCAGCAAUCCUUCUGCCUUGAGCUCCCAAAGUGCUGGGAUCAUAGGCAUGAGCCACCGUACCCAGCCUAGUUUCACACUUUUAUACACUCUCCCAAGUAUCACAGGGCUGGAAGCACUUUGAUUUUGGUGUAUUGGGUAUAAUUUAUGUUCUGUCAAUGAAAUGCAAUCAUGCAAUAUUCCAAAGGCAGAAUAGAGGCUCAGAGAACCCAUAUGUUAAAAAAAAUUAUUCCUUUGACAGAUAAAUAACACUUUUUCUAAUUUAUUGAUUUUGUAAAUUUGGAAUUGUGAAGAAUCUCCCCUCCCCCAAGAAAAACCUGUUUGUUCAGCAUUCCUUGCAAUGAUUGAAUCCUUUACCAGACAAACAAGAUGAAUGAAUUAUCUUUUCUUCUUUUCCUUUGGCUUACUUUUUCUGUGACAUUGUUUGAGAGACUGAGCACAGUAUUUUGAAACAGAUGACAGGGUUGUCACCUUUGAGUGGCACAAAUUUAGUAGCAACAGUAGGGCGUUUUAUGACAAUUUCUUUACAGUAUGAAAUCCAAAAGUUAUUCUCUGUGCCUUCAUGAGGAAAUGACAUUGAGUGGCAAUAUUUAAGAUGGUGAUUGGGAGGAAAGGCGAGUGUGAGAAGGGCAGCCUAAUUUUCAUGAAAUGAAACAGCCCUAGACUUGCAAAAUGAUAAUCGUAUUACUGAACAAUGUGAUGAUUCUCUCACAUGAAUUGUUCACUUCCAGGAGGCAUUCAAUCAGGCAAGCUAUCAAGAAGAUCUGGCCUUUGAUAAACACAUCCACUUUAAUAGCAGUUCCCGAGAUGAAAUGUUUGGAUUUAUGGCACCCAAUCACUGCAGCUUGAAAAUAUGAAAUAACUUGCUAGUGAACUGCCAUGAAAACCAUUACAUUAUGCUAGGGUCUUCCUUUUAGUAAGAUAUGGGAUGUUAUUAAUUGAUUAAUCUCCCUCCCUAUUCUUAAAAAUGAUUUAAGGAGGGUGGCCAUUUGCUACGAUGGAAAAGUACGGCUUCCUGGUCUGAUAUAAAAUGAGAAAUUGCCCAAGAUGAGCUCUAAGAUGUCUUCUACAUAACAUCUUCUAUGAUACAAUUUUUGGGAGUCUGUCCUUCAAAACUUCAUUACAAGGGGUCAUAUUAAGAUGAACUCUUAAUAAUAAGCCUCCUUAUGUGGGGCUCACAGAGACCUAGAUUCGUCCUAGAAUCCACUGGGAUUUGAACUGUCAUGAUUCUGAAGCUUACAUGGAUCCACAGAGUUGAUGUCAACUUAAUUCCUUGGAAAAUUAGGAGACAAAGAUUUGUUCUCUGUUCUUAUUCCUAACUUGGUGAGUUCCACUAAUGGUUGCUACCUUUCAGAGGCACAGACUUUGUAAUAACAGGGGAUGGCGCAUUACAAUUUCUAUGUUACACAAAUUCUAAAAUUAAGUUUAGUGAUUGGGAGGGAAGGUGAUUGAGAAAAGUAUACUUUUCAACUAAUGAAACAACAUUUAACUUCUGAGAAGGUACUUGUUGUAUUACUUAGCAAUGUGGAGUUUCAUCCCAGGCUGAAUAGAUUUCAAGGCAAACGGUGUCAGUUAUAAUAAUGCUGAGAAUUUUUUCUGGCCAAUGUUAUAUAAGAAAAGGUUUUAUUAAAGAAAGUUUAAGCAGCAUGAUUCAUAACAGCCAAAAAGCGGAAGCAACCCAAGUGUCCACAGCCAGAUCAAUGAAUAAACAAAAUGUGUUAUAUCCAUAAGAUGAAAUAUUUUUCAGCCUUAAAAGGAAGGAAAUUCUGACACAUGUUGAAAUGCUACAACAUGAAUGAAACUUGAAGGCAUGCAAUGUGAAACCAGACACAAAAGGACAAAUACUAUAUAAUUUCAUUGAUUUGAGGUACCUAGAAUAGUGAAAUUCAUAGAGAUAGAAAGUAGAAUGGAGGUGGCCAUGGGUUUGGGGAGUGGGGAAUGGGGAGUUAUUGUUUAAAGGCUACAGAGUUGCAGUUUGGAAAGAUGAAAAAGUUCUUCCCAAAGUUUUGGGAUGGUGGAUAGUGGUGAUGAAUGUACUAAAAGCCACAAAACCACACACUUACAAAUGGUUAAAAUGGCAAAUUAUAUAUGUUACACAUAUUUCACCACAAGUAUAAUACUAAAUUUAAAAAGAACAGAAAGAGUUUAAAAUGACUUCAACUACAUCUUCAUAUUUAUUCCUUUUCCUAAUUUAAGAGGGAAAUAAUUUCAGUUCCCCAGAGUUCUGUGUUUCUGGUAUUUUAAUGUGGAAUAAAAUGUUACCAACUCGUUUUUGCUUCUAUUAAGAUCUCGCUCUUGGUAGGCCACUGGCUUUGAGAAACAUCUUGUGUCUUUGAAUUCAGAUAAAAUAGAGUUACAGCUAAUUACAUCUUGGAUUUGUUUUACAAUUACAAAUAUAGAAGGUAGAUGAAGAAAAAUUAUGUUCCAAUCUUUGAAAACUGCCAUUUGGAAGAUUGUCUACAUGAUGGUUUACAUUAAAGGUGCAAUAUUAGCAUGGCUUUUUAUUACUAAAUAUAUUUUAAAAUAUACAUUUGGGCAUUAACUUUAAGAUACUUAUAAAAUAUUUUCUUAUUUGCUAAAGCGAAUCCCUUUGAUUUAUAAUAUACUUCUUGUCCAUUUAUAAAUAUUUAAUGAAACCUUACUCUUUUUUUUGCUUUUUAUGGUGCAUAAAAUAGAUUGAUAGUGUCUCAAAAGUUUUUUUAUUUUUCCAUUUUCUGUUAUAAAAAUAAUCAUGAAUACCUUUAUGUGUCAAAAUUUCAAGCCAAUACUACUGAAGUGAGAAUAAUUUUUCUACUUUUUAAAAGAAAAGUCACAAUCGUCUGUCAAGUGUUUUAAAAUUCAGAUUCUCAUUCAAAAAUUUGCAUGAGAUUUAUUUUAAAACAGUUUUUUUUCUUCCCAAGAUGAUAGUAAAAGAUAGGAGAGAAAAGAAAGAAAAGAUGGUAAAAGAUGAUGGUAAAAGACACGGCUUGACGCACCUACACAUACGCUGAUAGACUAUAGAGCACCUUAAUUUUUUUCCCUUUUUGAUCUCCUCACCUUUUUUUUUUUUUUUUUGAGAUAGAGUCUCACUCUGUCACCCAGGCUGGAGUACAGCAGCGCGAUCUCGGCUCACUGCAACCUCCGCUUCCCGGGUUCAAGGGAUUCUUCUGCCUCAGUCUCCUGAGUAGCUGGGACUACAGGCAUGCAC